rnacentral:ncRNA from 1 species
CAACGUGCCGGAGUCGAAGGUUCCUCGAAGACUCUGUCUGAGAGGAUGAAAAGGGAACACGGUGUGUGCCGCGAAGGCGCCGAAGCCGUGGCUGCCCCCGCAACUGUGAGCGGUGAGCGCUCCGCCGAGCAAGACCACUGGGCAACCGGGAAGGUCAGGCGGAAAGCAACGACCCGCAAGCCAGGAGACCUGCCGUCGACCGUGACAGGGC